UACGGGGGGGGCAAGCGUUGUUCGGAAUUACUGGGCGUAAAGGGCUCGUAGGCGGCCAACUAAGUCAGACGUGAAAUCCCUCGGCUUAACCGGGGAACUGCGUCUGAUACUGGAUGGCUUGAGUGUGGGAGAGGGAUGCGGAAUUCCAGGUGUAGCGGUGAAAUGCGUAGAUAUCUGGAGGAACACCGGUGGCGAAGGCGGCAUCCUGGACCGGCAUUGACGCUGAACAGCGAAAGCCAGGGGAGCAAACGGG
rnacentral:rRNA from 1 species